rnacentral:rRNA from 1 species
GACGAACGCUGGCGGCGUGCUUAACACAUGCAAGUCGAACGGAAGGGCCCUGCUUUUGUGGGGUGCUCGAGUGGCGAACGGGUGAGUAACACGUGAGUAACCUGCCCUUGACUGUGGGAUAACUUCAGGAAAGUGGGGCUAAUACCGGAUAGGAGCUCCUGCUGCAUGGUGGGGGUUGGAAAGUUUCGGCGGUUGUGGAUGGACGCGCGGCUUAUCAGCUUGUUGGUGGGGUAGUGGCUUACCAAGGCUUUGACGGGUAGCCGGCCUGAGAGGGUGACCGGCGACAUUGCGACUGAGAUACGGCCCAGACUGCUACGGGAGGCAGCAGUGGGGAAUAUUGCACAAUGGGCGGAAGCGUGAUGCAGCAACGCCGCGUGUGGGAUGACGGCCUUCGGGUUGUAAACCGCUUUCGCCUGUGACGAAGCGUGAGUGACGGUAAUGAGUAAAGAAGCACCGGCUAACUACGUG